AGGGAAAGAGGGCGGGAGGGAGAAAAAAGGAAAGUAGAAAGGAAGCACAGUAAGAGCUUGCUCUUACGGGUGGCGAGUGGCGGACGGGUGAGGAAUACAUCGGAAUCUACUUUUUCGUGGGGGAUAACGUAGGGAAACUUACGCUAAUACCGCAUACGACCUACGGGUGAAAGCAGGGGAUCUUCGGACCUUGCGCGAUUGAAUGAGCCGAUGUCGGAUUAGCUAGUUGGCGGGGUAAAGGCCCACCAAGGCGACGAUCCGUAGCUGGUCUGAGAGGAUGAUCAGCCACACUGGAACUGAGACACGGUCCAGACUCCUACGGGAGGCAGCAGUGGGGAAUAUUGGACAAUGGGCGCAAGCCUGAUCCAGCCAUACCGCGUGGGUGAAGAAGGCCUUCGGGUUGUAAAGCCCUUUUGUUGGGAAAGAAAAGCAGCAGGUUAAUACCCCGCUGUUCUGACGGUACCCAAAGAAUAAGCACCGGCUAACUUCGUA
rnacentral:rRNA from 1 species